rnacentral:rRNA from 1 species
GCUAACUCCGUGCCAGCAGCCGCGGUAAUACGGAGGGUGCUAGCGUUAUCCGGAAUCACUGGGCGUAAAGGGCGCGUAGGCGGCCUGGUAAGUCUGAUGUUAAAGAGCGGGGCUCAACCCCGUCACGGCGUUGGAUACUGCUGGGCUCGACGGCUGGAGAGGUGAGUGGAAUUACCAGUGUAGCGGUGGAAUGCGUAGAUACUGGUAGGAACACCCAUUGCGAAGGCAGCUCACUGGACAGCACGUGACGCUGAGGCGCGAAAGUGUGGGGAGCAAACCGGAUUAGAUACCCUUGUAGUC